rnacentral:rRNA from 1 species
UACGUAGGGGGCUAGCGUUGUCCGGAAUCAUUGGGCGUAAAGCGCGUGUAGGCGGUCCGGUAAGUCCGCUGUGAAAGUCGGGGGCUCAACCCUCGGAUGCCGGUGGAUACUGUCGGGCUUGAGUACGGAAGAGGCGAGUGGAAUUCCUGGUGUAGCGGUGAAAUGCGCAGAUAUCAGGAGGAACACCAAUUGCGAAGGCAGAUCUCUGGGCCGUAACUGACGCUGAGGAGCGAAAGCAUGGGGAGCGAACAGG